UACGAAGGGGGCUAGCGUUGCUCGGAAUCAUUGGGCGUAAAGCGCACGUAGGCGGUCUGUUAUGUCGGAUGUGAAAGCCCUUGGCUUAACUGAGGAAGUGCAUCCGAAACUGGCAGGCUAGAGUACUAAAGAGGGUCGCGGAAUUCCCGGUGUAGUGGUGAAAUGCGUAGAGAUCGGGAGGAACACCUGUGGCGAAGGCGGCCAGCCUGGGCCGGACCUGGACGC
rnacentral:rRNA from 1 species